rfam:Gossypium arboreum cultivar AKA8401 contig_65450_1, whole genome shotgun sequence.
UGUUAAAAGUUUCUUUCAAUUCUAUUGUUAAAAACUAUGUAGCUAACGGAAUAACGAGACAAUUACACAUAGUGUGCCACGUGUAUCUCAUGUUGAUAUAAGGGACCAGUUUUUACCAAAAAAAAUAGAUAAAAUUUUUAACA